rnacentral:pre_miRNA from 1 species
AUAAUUGUUCCUUUGAUGCUCAGUGUUUGAUGACGAAAGAUCAAAGAAACGAUUAAGG